UAUAAGUUAACUAGGCCAAUAUACAUAUCUCUUCUUUUUUUUUUUCUCCUCCAUCUCUCUCGCCUUCUACCUUCCCAUUAUGUCUUUGGUGAGGCUCCGGUGGCUUUCUUAAAACACCAGAACCGAGGCAUAACAAGAAGAGAUGUCUAUGACAAGACCACCACGUCUUGACUCAUCCAUUUUUGAAUAUUGGAAGGUAUGUUUGCAAGACACAUGUUUUUCUAAUAUAAAAGCUAAAAAUUAAGAUAACAUAUUUUAUAGUUAAAUAUUAAUUAAGAAAAAAUAUUUGUAAAAAGAUAUUUUCGAAAAUACUUUUAAUAUGUGAAUGUUUUGAAAAAAAUUGACUCAGUAAUAAGCAUUUAUAUUUUGAUGAACUUUGUCGUAUAUAAUAAUUGAUGUUUGGUUUAAAAUUUUUGGAGAACAUUUGAAUUAAUAAAAUAUAAACUAAUAAAUAUUCGUAAAAAAUUAUGUCUGCAUAUACGGGAGAAACAUCUAGUAUAUACUUAUUUAUAUUGAAUUGAGUAUUUAAGGUACUUAUUUAAAUUUUAAUAAUUAUUGUUGGAUACAUAUCAAAAUAAUAUGAAAUUGAAUAUUUUAAAUACACAUUUAUGUUUCAAAUAUUAUUUUCAUAUUAAUUUGGACAUUCCGAUGGGUUUCUCAAAAAAAAAAUGGUUUUUCGGAUUUUUCGUGUUACCCGUUUGGGUUUGGUUAAUAACACUUCGAGUUCAGAUAUUUUUGUAACACUCUAUAAGACCAUUCAAGUAUUUUUUAUAUUUCGAACCGGAUACUAAUCAGAUUUUUGGUUUGGACUCAGAUCGGGUUCGGUUUGGAUUUCGGGUUAAAAUUUUUAUGACAGCUUCAGUCUUAAGUGCUCCAAAAUCUUUAACCUUAUCCAAAAUGUACGUAAACCUAAAAUGACUUAUAAAAGACUCGAAAAAUAUAUAAAAUACUUUAAAUAUGUAUGACUUGUCAUGGUCAAAAACUCAUAAAAACCAUAAUACGUUUUUAUUUGAUUGUUUAUAAGUGUGUAUUUACUUUUCUGCUAAAUUUCUUUUCCUGCUUAGCUUUAAGAAAACAAUUUUUUCCCACCUCCUAUUUUGCAUAACCCACUUCUAUAUGCCUAAUUAGGUCAUCCUAGCCUAAUGGGCUGAGUAUCAUAUUCCGGGCCGAGCAACUGGGUCCGAUGGUUGGGCUUCCGAGCUAAGCUGAUGUACUGAUCCGAGCAGCAACACUGAGUAAAGCUGUCUCGAGCCGAUCGCCAGCACUUAGUCGGGAGCUAUUAGCUUAAGCCGAUGUCCUGAGCCGGCUCGAUGGGCCAAAUAUCCCAUUUGAUGGGCUUGAGGAGGGAUGCAAUCCAUCUCCUACCAUUUCAUUUUUAUUCGCUUAACGGAAAGCUUAAAAUUGGGAUGGGGGGGUGUUAUUCAUAAGCUUUAUAUGUACUAUAGAACGAAAAAUCAGAAGAAGAGUAAAUGAUCCAACGGUAAUGUUGAUGUGGAUGACAACAGAGAAGUUAUUGGUUUAUUGUUUAGAUUCGUUUAUUAUAAAGUGUUGAAUUCAGUUGGCUUUUGAAUAGAGAAAUAGAGACGUGAGUCUGUGGGAGUAUAAUUUGGAUUAAGCCAAUUGUGUCUUUCGACAUCAAAAGUUGUAAUUCGUGGAUAUGUAUUUCACUACAAGUAAUAUUCAGUAGAUUCGGGAUUAAGUUUGAGAGAUACACGAGAAGAAACAAACUCACUCUACCAGAAUCAUCCAUUUUGAAACUUGGAUCACCAUUCAAUUCUACCAAACUUUCGAAAGCCAAGACGUUGUUGUAUCGUUAUGAAACAAUAGGAAGAUUGGCACCAUCUGUUCUUCUAUGAAGCUAAAGCUAAAACCAAACUAUUUUACUUUUAUAGUCAUAUCAUCGACCAAGUAAAACAUAUGAGUACCAUUAAUAUAUAGUAAGAAAAUCUCACCAAACAGAACAAAAACAAGAAAAGUUUAAGAAGAAUAUGGAAAACAUAUCAUACACCAUAAAAAGCCCUAACAAGCCUUUCUCUUUCUGGAUUAAUAAUAAAAGAAAAGAAGAAAGCAAACAGGACACAAAUCUUGAGUUUUGAAUGAUCU